AACGCACAUUGCACUCCUUGGCAUUCCGAGGAGUACGCCUGUUCGAGCGUCAUUUCACCAUCAAGCCCCCAGCUUGGAAUUGGGCCUGGCUGCGGCCAUGCCUUAAUGGAAUGGGCGAUUGACCAUAGUGAUGACUCACUCGCGUCAAUCCGCAUCUUUUUGACUCUGGUUGACCUCGGAUCAGGCGGGGAUACCCGCUGAACUUAA
rnacentral:misc_RNA from 1 species